CAGAGGAACUUGUCCUAUAAUCGAUAAUCCCCGAUGGACCUUACUUAAAUUUGUUACAAUUUAUAUACCGUUGUUAUAAGAAAAUUUUAUAAGAAUAAUAAUUUUCAAUAAUUAAAAUUAUAAUUUAUAUCAGAUCAAGGUGUAGUUUAUGUUUAAGGUGAGAUGAGUUACAAUAAAAUUAUUUAUACGGAUUUUUUAAUGAAAUUUAAAAAUAAAGGUGGAUUUGUUUGUAAAAAAUUAAAUAUAAAAUUUUUGACAUUGCUCUAAAAUAUGCAC
rnacentral:rRNA from 1 species